rnacentral:rRNA from 1 species
UGGCGGCGUGCUUAACACAUGCAAGUCGAACGAAGCACUUGAGAAGAUUUCUUCGGAAUGAAACUUAAGUGACUGAGUGGCGGACGGGUGAGUAACGCGUGGGUAACCUGCCUCAUACGGGGGGAUAACAGUCAGAAAUGACUGCUAAUACCGCAUAAGCGCACAGUACCGCAUGGUACGGUGUGAAAAACUCCGGUGGUAUGGGAUGGACCCGCGUCUGAUUAGCUGGUUGGUGGGGUAACGGCCUACCAAGGCGACGAUCAGUAGCCGGCCUGAGAGGGCGACCGGCCACAUUGGGACUGAGACACGGCCCAAACUCCUACGGGAGGCAGCAGUGGGGAAUAUUGCACAAUGGGGGAAACCCUGAUGCAGCGACGCCGCGUGAGCGAAGAAGUAUUUCGGUAUGUAAAGCUCUAUCAGCAGGGAAGAAAAUGACGGUACCUGACUAAGAAGCCCCGGCUAACUACGUGCCAGCAGCCGCGGUAAUACGUAGGGGGCAAGCGUUAUCCGGAUUUACUGGGUGUAAAGGGAGCGUAGACGGACUGGCAAGUCUGAUGUGAAAACCCGGGGCUCAACCCCGGGACUGCAUUGGAAACUGUCAGUCUAGAGUGUCGGAGGGGUAAGUGGAAUUCCUAGUGUAGCGGUGAAAUGCGUAGAUAUUAGGAGGAACACCAGUGGCGAAGGCGGCUUACUGGACGAUAACUGACGUUGAGGCUCGAAAGCGUGGGGAGCAAACAGGAUUAGAUACCCUGGUAGUCCACGCCGUAAACGAU